UACGAAGGGGGCUAGCGUUGUUCGGAAUCACUGGGCGUAAAGGGCGCGUAGGCGGCUUUAUAAGUCGGGGGGUGAAAGCCUGUGGCUCAACCACAGAAUUGCCUUCGAUACUGUAGAGCUUGAGACCGGAAGAGGUAAGUGGAACUGCGAGUGUAGAGGUGAAAUUCGUAGAUAUUCGCAAGAACACCAGUGGCGAAGGCGGCUCACUGGCCCGUAACUGACGCUGAGGCACGAAAGCGUGGGGAGCAAACAGGG
rnacentral:rRNA from 1 species